ensembl:lincRNA
UAGCUUUGAGAUUCUUCUUACCCAUUCAUUAUUGGAAGUGAUUUAGAUUGAAAGAAAAUGAUUCACAUGUUCUGGAUAUCAUCAUAUGUUCAUAUUUCCUAGGAUGUCAGCCUUUCUUUCUAUUUACCUAUUUCUUUUAUUCUUUUUUCCACUGGUCACAUUUCACAGGGUAAGAAGGAGGAGAAAGGAAUUAACACGUCUUGACAUUUCUCUUGUGCUCUGCAUUGCUGGAGACGUUGGAUUGCUUAUAUGCAUGAUUUUUAAAAAGUACAAAGGCAUUUUUUGUGAUGCUGCAACUAUGAAAUGUUCUACAGUAAGGAGUUAUCGAUUGUGAUCCCGAGUUGAGAGCUAUGGAGCUUGCAACAUUCAGUAUAAAGUUCUGUGACCAGAGGUGCGAUGAUAACUUUUGUGUGUCAACUUGCCUGGACCACAGGAUGCCGAGACAUUUGGUAAAGCAUUACUUUGGGUGUGUCAGUGAGGCUAUUUCUGGAUGAGAUUAACAUUUGAGUCAGUAGACUGAGUAAAGAAGAUUCCCUUCCCAAGUCCGUUGAAGAUCUGAAUAGAAUGAAAAGGCUGAGGAAGAAGAAACUCUUGAUGCCCAGUUACUCUGAACUGGGACAUUGGCAUUUUUCUGCCUUCAGACUGGAACUACAAUUUUGGCUCUUCUUGGGUCUCAAAUCUGUAGACUUUUUGACUGGAAUGACACAAUUGGCUCUCCUGAGUCUUCCACUUGCCCACUACAGAUCUUGAACUUCUCAGCUUCUAUAAUUGCAUGAGCCAAUUCCUUAUAAUGAAUCUUUGUUUAUGUUAUACUAUGAUGGUUAAAUUUAUGUAUCAACCUGACUAGGUUGAGGGAUGCCCAGAUAGCUGAUAACACAUUAUUUCUGAGUGUGACUAUGAGAGUUUUACUGGAAGAGAUUAACAUUUGAAUCAGUGGACUGAGUGAAGUAGAUCUUCCCUCACCAAUGUGCAUGGGCAUCAGUCGAUCCAUUAAGGGUCCUUAUAGAGCAAAAAAGUCACAGAAUGGUGAAUUCUCUCUUCUUAAGCCAGGACAUCCAUUUUCUCUUGCCUUCAGACAUUAAAGCUUCUGAUUCUUGGGCUUUCAGACACCAGGAUUACCAGACUUUUGGCCUUGAACUGAGAGUUAUAACAUUGGCUUGCCUUGUUGUUAGGCCUUUGGACUCUGAAUUAUAGCACGGACUUUCCUGGUUUUCUGGGACUUCUUGGCCUCCAUAAUCAUAUGAACCAAUUCUCAUAAUACAUUUCCUCAUUCAUCUAUCUAUCUCAUAUAUGUAUAUGUAUAUAUAUGUAUAUUCAUUUCCUAUAGGUUUUCUUUCUGCAGAGAAUCCUAAUACACCAACUGAUGCUAAGCACACCCUCCAAACAUCCUUUUCUAUGAAAAGUGUCUGUCCUUAAAAGCCACCUUAUCCAAGAUAAUUAGAUGAAUUUCAAAUAGGUUUUGUUUAAUGAGUUUUGUAGCUGUUAAUCACGUAAUAAGUCAGUCUGGGGAAAUGUACAAUAUCAAUAAUAAUUGGACACACUUCAGUCAGUACAUUGGACAAAAACCUCUUCAUAGGGAUCUUUCUGUAAGAGUUGUGACAAGUCUGAAAAUGGAAGACAGUAUUUCUAUUGUUUUCUGAGCUUCAAAAGGAAGGAAGAUGUUAAAUGCCAACUGUCGGGCCCCAGAGGAGCAACCAUUGUUGACUAACUGAUUGCAGGCCAAAGCUUCCAUGGUUUGGGAAGACGAUUUUUUUCAUGUCUCUGAGUGUGACUGUGAUAGAGUUUCCAUAUAGGGACUACAGCAAAGAAUGUGUUUUCCUAUGGGCUUGGAGGUUGAUUUUUCUAAUGAAUAUAAACCUUUCCUUUUCAGAAUUAUCAAUUUCAUUCUAAUAUCUUUGUUUUUAAUUGAGCGGAAUUCAUACAACGUCAAAGUAAACCAUUCAGCAGCAUUUAGUGUGUUCAUCUCUAUCUAGUUCCAAACAUAUUCAUGACCCCAAAAUGAAACUCCAUACUUCUUAGAGUUGCUCCUGGUUCCUAACUCUCCAUAGAGAGUUAGUUUCUAGGGUUCCCAAACCCUAGAAACUCUCUGAAUUUAUCUAUUCUAAUCUGCUUUUAAAAUAAUACUCUGUACAAAGAAAAGCUCA